rnacentral:lncRNA from 1 species
UUUAAUUUUUAAUUGUUCAAUACUACCUACCGUAUCGCGCGGAUUUUUUAACUAGUUAUAUUAUAAGAUAUGAUAUUAGCUUUAUUACUUUUAGGGUGUAUUUGAUUCGCUUCUUUUUCAUCUUGGAAUGGGUGAAUUUGUUUGUGGGUGUUUGGUACGCGGAAGUCCCAUUCCGAUUCCGAAGAUAUGAUAUUGAAUGUCAGUCAAACCCGAUGUGACCAGAAUAACUAUUC